CGCCAAAGAGGAAGGACGUAGUGAACUUCCUCAGCGCUUGGAGCCAAAAAGUCGGCCUUCUAGAAAUAAAAUAAUUGACUCAACGCUGAAAUAAGGCCGUUUGAACAAAUAAUAAGAAGGAAAUUACAUUUCCUCGUGUAUGUGAACCGGAGGAUUGGAGCCUGCAUCCACCCAAGUUCACAUUAAAAGAAAAACUUCGUCUUGGCUGGGUUUUUUGUUUCCUCCUUUCAUUCCAUUCAUUGGACGUGGAUGAAGAAUUCGAAACUGGAUAAAGACACUGGAUAAAGACUUUUCCAACAGAUGAAGAUGGCGAGCUAAUGCCCGGAAACCAACUGAAUUGAAUUUAGACGGACUGUCUGGUUUGAAUUUUUGUUAUUUUAUUGUAUAUAUUUGUGUAUAUAUUGCCGGCUUAAAUUGUAAAUAGUUUUUGUAUUAAUAUAAUUAUUUUGUUACUCAUCUCGACUCCAGUUAUUUCAGUUACUAAACAUUAUUUUCCUUAUUGUAAUCUCCGAGAACCUAGUUUUCUGCCCAAAUACAAUUGCAUUCAUAACAGAACCCCGUCAACUCGAAUCGGGGGUUACAGAUGCAAGCCUAGACUGUGGCGACCAAUUUAACCACCCUGAUAAAAAAAUUACAGGU